rnacentral:rRNA from 1 species
UACGUAGGGGGCAAGCGUUGUCCGGAAUCAUUGGGCGUAAAGCGCGUGUAGGCGGUCCGGUAAGUCGGUUGUGAAAGUCCAGGGCUCAACCCUGGGAUGCCGACCGAUACUGUCGGACUAGAGUUCGGAAGAGGCGAGUGGAAUUCCCGGUGUAGCGGUGAAAUGCGCAGAUAUCAGGAAGAACACCCGUGGCGAAAGCGGCUCUCUGGAACGGUACUGACGCUGAGACGCGAAAGCGUGGGGAGCGAACAGG